GUGCUCACUUCAGCAGCACAUAUACUAAAAUUGGAAUGAUACAAAGAUUAGCACGGCCCCUGCACAAGGAUGACACGCAAAUUCAUGAAGUGUUCCAUAUUUUU
ensembl:snRNA U6 U6 spliceosomal RNA